rnacentral:rRNA from 1 species
ACGGAAGGCAGCAGUGGGGAAUAUUGGACAAUGGGGGAAACCCGGAUCCAGCGACGCCGCGUGAGUGAAGAAGUAUUUCGGUAUGUAAAGCUCUAUCAGCAAGGAAGAAAAUGACGGUACUUGACUAAGAAGCUCCGGCUAAAUACGUGCCAGCAGCCGCGGUAAUACGUAUGGAGCAAGCGUUAUCCGGAUUUACUGGGUGUAAAGGGAGCGUAGACGGUAAAGCAAGUCUGAAGUGAAAUCCCGGGGCUCAACCCUGGAACUGCUUUGGAAACUGUUUAACUAGAGUGCAGGAGAGGUAAGCGGAAUUCCUAGUGUAGCGGUGAAAUGCGUAGAUAUUAGGAGGAACACCAGUGGCGAAGGCGGCUUACUGGACUGUAACUGACGUUGAGGCUCGAAAGCGUGGGGAGCAAACAGGAUUAGAUACCCUGGUA